rnacentral:miRNA from 1 species
AAGAUUAUUUUUAAAUAUG